rnacentral:rRNA from 1 species
GACGAACGCUGGCGGCGUGCUUAACACAUGCAAGUCGAACGGAAAGGCCCUGCUUUUGUGGGGUGCUCGAGUGGCGAACGGGUGAGUAACACGUGAGUAACCUGCCCUUGACUUUGGGAUAACUUCAGGAAACUGGGGCUAAUACCGGAUAGGAGCUCCUGCUGCAUGGUGGGGGUUGGAAAGUUUCGGCGGUUGGGGAUGGACUCGCGGCUUAUCAGCUUGUUGGUGGGGUAGUGGCUUACCAAGGCUUUGACGGGUAGCCGGCCUGAGAGGGUGACCGGCCAAAUUGGGACUGAGAUACGGCCCAGACUCCGACGGGAGGCAGCAGUGGGGAAUAUUGCAAAAUGGGCGGAAGCCUGAGGCAGCAACGCCGCGUGCGGGAUGACGGCCUUCGGGUUGUAAACCGCUUUCGCCUGUGACGAAGCGUGAGUGACGGUAAUGGGUAAAGAAGCACCGGCUAACUACGUG